GCCCGGUUAGCUCAAUCGGUAGAGCGUGAGACUCUUAAUCUCAAGGUUGCGGGUAAGCAUACAGACAUCCAACGUAACAAUUAUCCACGUACUAAUCCCUCGGCGCUACAGGUUCGACCCCCGCAUCGGGCU